AAAAGCAUACUUGGGUUCAUAGUGGCUGAUAGUAUAGCAGAAAAAUAAACAUGAAUUUUGAAUAUACUAGAUGGUAAUGUUUGUUUAUUUAUUUAGGUUGGCUACCUAUGAUCUAUCUGAGCUGCAAAUUGAGGGUGAUGGAAAUUGCCAGUUUCGAGCAAUAGCUGAUCAGUUUUUCGCAAUCCAGAUUACCAUAAGCAUGUUAGAAAGCAGAAAUUAGUGAUCAAGACAAGGAGCAUCGAGUUCAUGCCAUUCUAUCUUUCUCUUGCAACCUUCUUGACGAAUCU